AAGUAGAAAACCCUAAGGGGGCAGAAAUUGAGUAUGAAUAGUGUGAGGGGUUAGAGGUGGAAAUGUUUAAUGUUGGUAUGCAAGAAUCAUUUGUUUUUGUAACAGCAUUUGUAUAUAUUUAUGGAUAAAACUAAAGGUAAAAGAAUGUCACCACUCAACCAGGAAAAUCUGUCAAUAUUGUGGUAAUCUUUUACUGUGUAGGUGAGCCGUCGAGGUACAGUGAGUUAAGACUAGUAAGGUGGUGUGUAGGGUGAACAUUAAGGCCCCAGGAAAGACAGUUACCGACACUGGCCUACAGAAGACCUCCUGGGGACCAAGUGGAGACAGACAAGACAGUGUAGCAUUAAUGACCAGGGUGAACAUGGCAGAUAGUGAACUGCAACCAGAUACUCCUUUACAAGAAUUAUCAUAUAAACGGAGUUUAGCUAUUGUAAGUGCUUUCAAUGAAAAUAAUAAUUGGAAGAAUGUGGCUGGAAAAUUAGACAUUGUUCUCAGCCAUCAAGAAAUAUUACAAAAUCCAGGCCAGGCCCUGUUCAGGAAGCUGAUAUAUCAAGAUUUCACUGUGGAACAUCUACAAAUUCUGCUGGGACUUUGUGAGCUUUAUGAUAUCCUCAAUGAACUUGUAACUAAUGUUCCUGUGAUGAUAAAGCCUCCAGAGUACAGUUGCAAAGAAGUCAAACUUGGUAAAUCAAUUACCAUUAAUGUUGAUGUUGAUGGAUCUCCAUACCCAGAGUUUCAGUGGUACUUCAUGGAUAGUGAUAACCCUCUGGAUGGACAGACUACUUGUUCACUGACAAUAGAUAAAUUCAAAAUCCAAGAUAAGGGUGAAUACUUUUGUAAAGUGAGGCAAAUCUUGAAGGGAAAUGUGAGAGAGCUUUGUUCAGACAAAGUUACCUUGAAUGUGGAAAGAAUGAAUCCUAUGAUUUCGGAGAAUCUUUCUGAUAUGAAGUUUUAUGCAGGUGAGGAGCUAGUGUUAACAUGUGCAGUGAUUGGCUACCCAGAACCAAACAAUUACAGAUGGUUUAAAAACAAUGAAGUAUUUAAAGUGACUUCUCAACCCAUACUCAAAAUUCCAAGGGAGGACUCUCUAGUACCUGGUGCAUACAAAUUCUUCUUUGAAGUUUGGAAUGACCUUGGAAGCUGUAAAUCAGAAGUAGCCACAGUCACUGUUGUUCCACCAAUCCCUCCAACAAUCACCAAACAACCAAGGAGAAAGUCAAAAUUUGGUCUUGAUAGAUUUAUCAAUCUUUCUUUUGAAGUUCAUUGUAGAAAUGAAGUAAAAUUUAUCUGUUUUGUUAACAACAAACCUUUAGACAGUGCUGGAAGUUUUCACGGAAUAAUAGAGUCAAAAUCACUUUCGGAUAAUAUACACACGUGUGAUUUGUUUUACUCUACUACUAAAGAAAACAUGCAGAGAGAAGAAUGGAAGCCACUCUUAUUCAGGUUUGAGGCUGCAUCACCCACAGGCAGAGUUUCAUCUGACGAUAUAGUAAUCCAAGUCAAGCAGACACAAGAGGAAACACUAACUGCACGCAAUAAGUGGGCAUUGCUUGUGGCAAAUUCAGACUACAAGACAGAGGACAAAGAAUUGUAUGCACCAUUAAGUGAUGUGAAACUAUUAGCAAGAGAACUCACAAAACUUCAGUUUCGCAUUAUCAUGUACAGCAACUUGGAGAAAGCUGAUUUUUUUAAUGCUUUUCAUCAUUUCUCAACUUAUGUUCAAGAAGGAGAUUAUGUUGUGUUUUAUUUUGCUGGACAUGGUUUCAGCUGUGACGGAAUUGACUUUAUGGUGCCUGUGGAUAAUAUACAUACUGGUAGUGAAACUGACAUCAUGAAACCUCUUAACAUGGACUAUGAAAAUAUACCCAGAGAGGAGAAUGUGAAGACGUCUUCUGAUCUAGCAGAUGGCAUUGCAUUAACAAAUUUCAUUAACAGCCUUCAGCAUUCUAGGCCAGAACUUCUGUUCCAAAUCAUUGAUGCAUGUCGCGGACAAGUGUACAGAGAAAAGUUGCCUGCAGGAGCAGAACCAUUUGCAAUUGCCCUACCAAAUGGUUAUAAACUUCAUGCUACAUCAGAAAAUUAUACCACUUAUGAAGCAACAGAGUCAUCUCUACUGAUGCAACAACUAAUCAAGUUUUUGCAAAUGCCCAUAUCUGUGGUUACACUGGGAGAACUUGUCAAGCAAUCUUUUCGUCGCUAUUCACAUGAAGAAGACGUGAAUGGUCAAGUACCAAAGACAGAAGGAAAUCUGGCUUCACCAUGUUCUCUUGCAGAUCGCUCUAUUCCAUGGGAUAUGGAUGAAAAAGAGUAUGGAGUACUUCGCCGCUGGGAAAGGCUGGGAAGAGUUGAAUGUUUUGAAGCAAAGAUGCAAGUAGCUCACUGUGACAUAAGAGUGAAAGUCCAGUGCACCCAAGAGGAACUGCCAGAUUAUCAGCAUUAUCAGAAGAAAGAGCCAGUAAGGGUUAUUAGUAACAAUAUUCAAGUUAAUAUUGUACUAAUGCAGGGUGAUGCACCUUUUGAUACCAGAGUAAUAAAUAAAGAAGGACUAGAUCUUCACAUCAAAUUCAGCACUGGCCAGAAUGAUGGCAAGAGCUUCUUCACAACAGCUGGCAGCCGAGGAGGAGCAACCAGAGGCGAAGAAACCCCAAUUAGAGCAGGAGGAGGAGGAGCAACCAGAGGCGAAGAAACCCCAAUUAGAGCAGGAGGAGGAGGCAGCUGCAGAGUCUCAGUGACUCACACCCUCCUCUUCCGCCAGCCUCCUCCUUCGCUCCACUACCCACCACACACUCGCUCUACCACCUCCGCCCAUCGAUCUCUAUGACACUGCCUGGGAAAGUAUCACCAAUAACCUGCCCCAUUAAUGGCAUUCAAGCUCUGAAGGGAUACUUGAUAAUGG
rnacentral:misc_RNA from 1 species